AGUGAACGCUGGCGGUAGGCCUAACACAUGCAAGUCGAACGGCAGCCCAGGAGAGCUUGCUCUCUGGGUGGCGAGUGUCGGACGGGUGAGGAAUACAUCGGAAUCUACUUUUUCGUGGGGGAUAACGUAGGGAAACUUACGCUAAUACCGCAUACGACCUACGGGUGAAAGCAGGGGAUCUUCGGCGCUUGCGCGAUUGAAUGAGCCGAUGUCGGAUUAGCUAGUUGGCGGGGUAAAGGCCCACCAAGGGGACGAUCCGUAGCUGGUCUGAGAGGAUGAUCAGCCACACUGGAACUGAGACACGGUCCAGACUCCUACGGGAGGCAGCAGUGGGGAAUAUUGGACAAUGGGCGCAAGCCUGAUCCAGCCAUACCGCGUGGGUGGAGAAGGCCUUCGGGUUGUAAAGCCCUUUUGUUGGGAAAGAAAUCCAGCUGGUUAAUACCCGGUUGGGAUGACGGUACCCAAAGAAUAAGCACCGGCUAACUUCGUGCCAGCAGCCGCAGUAA
rnacentral:rRNA from 1 species